CAGACUUUCAUAUUUUUCCAUCACUGUUAGGAAUUAUUUCUUUUAAAAUACAUUUUCAGAUGUGUCAAUGAAUUUUGGGAUGGAAGAAGAGAGAGAUGCAAGUGCUGUGUCCUUCUACUUAAAGCAGAAGUUUCAAGAGUUUAUUUAACCUUCUUAACAAAAGGCAAAUCUUGGUAAAGUGCAUUGACGAUGGGGGCCACCAAGCAGCAUCAGGACACCCAAGGAGGCCAGGAUGUCCAGCAGGAGGCUGUGCGAACCCAGCCGAUACAUGUGCAGAAAAGCAGCAGUACCUAGACUGCACUUGUAAUUAUUGUGUGAUGAAUGAGACACCUCGUGGGGAUCCCUCCGAAUUUUUGUGAGGGGCUUCAGAAAGUGGACUUCACAGGAGACUGAGAUCAAACUCCAAGAAAUAAGGCAGCCAGCUUCUCCUCAAGACGGUAAACAGCCGGAAUCGGAGGGUUUCAGAGACUGGUGAUCUUGCCUUUUGAGCCACAGACACAAAAGGAAAAGAAAGAGCUGAAUUCAAAAGCAUUCCCCUGAAUGUGCUGCUCUCUUAAAACCCGAUCUUUUCCUCCUGCAGCCUCAUCUGCUCAUCAGCCCACGACAUUCCCUCAUUUCUGUGGAUCCUCAACAGCCAAGCUGAGUUGGUUAUCUUUGUGUUAGGGUCACAGCAUGUUUCCCAGAUUAGAGUUAUCUAUAAUUUACCUCUUACCAUGCCUGAAAUAGCACCUCUAGGCAAUUUCUCCUUUGUUCUCUGCCUCAAUGUCUGCACACAGGCUGUCCACUCUGCCUUGAGCUCUUGAAUACCCACCCCACAACACUGCCAGCCAUCCCCCAGGGAUCUCCUGGCUUCUGCAAAAUCCCGCCUCUUAGUUAAGUUCUGCGUAGCCUUCAGAUCUCAACCAACUUAUUAGGAAAGUUGGGUCUGCUUGUUAUAGUCUAAAAACAAAAACUAUACAUGUGUUUUCUUCAAAGCACUUGUUGCAGAUUCCAAUUAUGUGUGUGUGUGUGUGGUUAUUUGAUAAACAUCUAUCUUCUCCACGGCACCAUCAGCUACAGAAC
rnacentral:lncRNA from 1 species